rnacentral:rRNA from 1 species
GACAGAGGUGCCAAGCGUUAGGCGGAAUCACUGGGCUUAAAGCGUGUGUAGGCGGAUGCCUAAGUACCUUGUGAAAUCCCACGGCUCAACCGUGGAACUGCUUGGUAUACUGGGUGUCUUGAGCCAUCUAGGGGCUACCGGAACAAAUGGUGGAGCGGUGAAAUGCGUAGAUAUCAUUUGGAACGCCAAUGGUGAAAACAGGUAGCUGGGGAUGUGCUGACGCUGAGGAGCGAAAGCGUGGGGAGCGAACAGG